rnacentral:lncRNA from 1 species
UCACUCUUCCUGGGCUUAGCAGAGGUCAUGUUCUUGCUUGUGCUUUCUGCUAAGUGAGACAAGACCUUCAUGCCUUCCUCUCCAGCUUCUCAGUAGAGGCAUGCAGAACAUACCCAAUGUCACAAACAAACCUCGAGUGGGCAAGCAAGAAGCCAGGAAUCAGAUGCUGGCUUGAAUCCAGAGGCUGAUGUGGGCCCAAAACCUGCCUGAAAAAUGGAACAAAGGGAAGACAUUGGCCUAAGAGAACACAAGAGAUGCUGCUAAGGCCAUGGCUAGGUUUGCUAAGGCGCAUGACAGAUGACCCUUGUGAACCAAUGUUGGAAGAACCUCUCGUUGGGAAGGUGCCAUGGAGAACACUCAGCAUCAAUGCCCUACAAGUUUUCUUUAAUGUCCAGUGUAGCUCAUGUUCAAAAUAGCAAUGGAAAUGUGUGGUGUUUAUUGCAGGCACAUAUGUUUGUGAUCAAGGUAUAGCUCUCAGGGAUGAGAAGCAAAAUGCAGUCAUUUGCUGCUCAGCAUCAUAGCUCUCAUACAUUCAACGAAAUAGCUUUAUUUAUCUUCUUCUGCAUAUAGGACCUUCCAUAUUGCAAAUUUAUUGAAUGGUUAAUGGCCUAAAAGUAUGGGGUUCAUUACAGAGAGAUGUAUUUAUUGCAGUGUUAAUUAAAUAAAAGCAUUGUAAUCUUUCCAAAUUGAACAAUUACGUUCAUUUAAACAUUUUAAGGAGAGAAAAAAACUUCUAUAUACUAAUUGAGUUGUAUAAUGAAAAGCAUGUGUAAUGGAAAUUUAAAUAAAACAAAUACUGAAAUAA